rnacentral:rRNA from 2 species
AAUGACUUUAACUCGGGAGUCAGACUGCGAGUGCUAAGAUCCGUAGUCAAGAGGGAAACAGCCCAGACCAUCAGCUAAGGUCCCCAAGUAUACGUUAAGUGGAAAAGGAUGUGGAGUUGCCCAGACAACCAGGAUGUUGGCUUAGAAGCAGCCAUCAUUGAAAGAGUGCGUAAUAGCUCACUGGUCGAGUGACUCUGCGCCGAAAAUGUACCGGGGCUAAACGUAUCACCGAAGCUAUGGCAAUCCCGUAAGGGAUUGGGUAGGGGAGCGUUCCAAGGACAGCGAAGCUAGAUCGUGAGGACUAGUGGAGUGCUUGGAAGUGAGAA